rnacentral:tRNA from 1 species
UGGUGGAUAUGCAAGUGGAUAAAGCAAUCUGACUGUAAAUCAGACGUCCAUGUGACUUCGUGGGUUCGAAUCCUACUCUGCCAA